GUGUUCACUUUGGCAGCACAUAUAAUAAAAUUGGAGUGAUACGGAGAAGAUUAGCAUGGUCUGUGCACAUGGAUGACAUGCAAAUUCAUGAAGCAUUCCAUCUUCAU
rfam:Gorilla gorilla gorilla genomic chromosome, chr14, whole genome shotgun sequence